rnacentral:tRNA from 1 species
GCAGUGGUGGUUUAGUGGUAGAAUUCUUGCCCUCCAUGCAGUAGACCAGGCUUCGAUUCCCAGCCAAUGUA